rnacentral:rRNA from 1 species
GACGAACGCUGGCGGCGUGCUUAACACAUGCAAGUCGAACGGAAAGGCCCUGCUUGCAGGGUACUCGAGUGGCGAACGGGUGAGUAACACGUGGGUGAUCUGCCCUGCACUUCGGGAUAAGCCUGGGAAACUGGGUCUAAUACCGGAUAGGAGCCAUUUUUAGUGUGAUGGUUGGAAAGUUUUUUCGGUGUAGGAUGAGCUCGCGGCCUAUCAGCUUGUUGGUGGGGUAAUGGCCUACCAAGGCGGCGACGGGUAGCCGGCCUGAGAGGGUGGACGGCCACAUUGGGACUGAGAUACGGCCCAGACUCCUACGGGAGGCAGCAGUGGGGAGUAUUGCACAAUGGGCGCAAGCCUGAUGCAGCGACGCCGCGGGGGGGAUGACGGCCUUCGGGUUGUAAACUCCUUUCGCUAGGGACGAAGCUUUUUGUGACGGUACCUAGAUAAGAAGCACCGGCUAACUACGUG